AACACGUGGGUAACCUGCCCCGUAGUGGGGAAUAACUCCUCGAAAGGGGAGCUAAUACCGCAUAAGACCCCCGGUGAGAGUCCGGGUGGUGAAAGCUCCGGCGCUACGGGAGGGGCCCGCGGCCGAUUAGCUAGUUGGUGGGGUAAUGGCCUACCAAGGCGACGAUCGGUAGCUGGUCUGAGAGGAUGGUCAGCCACACGGGGACUGAGAUACGGCCCCGACUCCUACGGGAGGCAGCAGCUAAGAAUCUUGCGCAAUGGGCGAAAGCCUGACGCAGCAAUUCCGCGUGGAGGACGAAGGCCUUCGGGUUGUAAACUCCUUUUGUGAGGGAAGAAGUUCUGACGGUACCUCACGAAUAAGACACGGCUAACUACGUGCCAGCAGCCGCGGUAAUACGUAGGUGUCGAGCGUUGUCCGGAUUUAUUGGGCGUAAAGCGCCCGCAGGCGGCCAGGCAAGUCCAGGGUGAAAUCUCCCGGCUCAACCGGGAGGGUGCCCUGGAAACUGCCAGGCUUGAGGCAGGGAGAGGGAUGUGGAAUUCCCGGUGUAGUGGUGAAAUGCGUAGAUAUCGGGAGGAACACCAGUGGCGAAGGCGGCAUCCUGGCCCUGUCCUGACGCUCAGGGGCGAAAGCGUGGGGAGCAAACCGGAUUAGAUACCCGGGUAGUCCACGCCGUAAACGAUGAGUACUAGGUGUUGGAGGUAUCGACCCCUUCAGUGCCGAAGCCAACGCGAUAAGUACUCCGCCUGGGGACUACGGC
rnacentral:rRNA from 1 species